rnacentral:antisense_RNA from 1 species
UGACGGCAGCGGUCUUCAGCCAAGGUGAGGCAAAUGAGACCUCGAGCAUGUGUGGCCAUAAAAUUGAUGUCUUCAGGCCGCACUUGCUCAGCGGCCAUAAUU